ensembl:lncRNA
GUACUCAUGCUUUUUGUAUCUCAGUUUCCCCAUCUGAAAAAAAAUCAUAGUAAUAGUGCCUAGCUUAAAAGUUUACUAUGACAUCUAAUUAGAUAGUAUAUAAAAGGAUGAAAAUAGAUUCCUGCCACAUGGGAAACACCCCAUGUGUGCUAGCUCUUACUUCUUCAGAGCUUUAGCAUUUUAGGCAACAGAGGUAAAAAAGAGUAUUUAUGCCCCAUCUGUCUCAUCACCUCGGCAAUAGACCACAGUCUUCUUGAAUGUUGUGGUUUUGUCUAUAGUAAGAAGCCUAUUCAACCAGGUAAAUCCCUCCCUUGGCCAUUAGACACUUCCAUUCUAUUCCUCAAAGACAGCCUGGGAAGAGUCCCCCACACCUCACUGAAGGGCACAGUUGUUUGCCAGCUUUCCUGUAGCCUAGGUCCCAAGUGCCCUGUUCCAAUUCACCAUUGUGAAGUCAUCUCUAAUAACAUUUGCACUCAAGGUCAGAACACCUUUGCUCCCUCUUAAGUCCUCAACCACUGACAUUUUGGAGAUGAGAAAUGAAAAUGACAUGAGAAGAAAUACCCAGGAUGCUAGAUGAGUGACUUGACAAGGGAGAUCAACAAGUCAAAUGGCCAAGCAUGUGUAAAUAGCCCAGGGGCGCCCUGUACCAGACAGACUGGAACAACAUCAGCUCCUUAGCCACUGGUGUUCAAACGGCUCGUUUCCUACUAAGCAAGAGGGCACUGCAUUCAACAAGAGUGACGGAAAACCAAAUCAUGCAGAAAGUCAGUCUGCUAGCAACGCUUCAGAAGGGAAGACAUUUAUCAGUGGAUUCUUUACUGCUGAGGCAUCAGGAAAGCAAAUUAGCUAUACUUCAAUUUAAAACAAACAAACAAUAAAACCUUAAAACAAAACAAAUGAGUCAUAGACAUCUAACGGAUAUAUUGUUUAAAGAAGACAAAAACUAAACUGGUUAUAGAUUUGGAAAAGAGCAGAGGAGAGAAAUGGUUAAAG